rnacentral:rRNA from 1 species
UGGGGAAUUUUGGACAAUGGGGGCAACCCUGAUCCAGCAAUGCCGCGUGUGUGAAGAAGGCCUUCGGGUUGUAAAGCACUUUUGUCAGGAACGAAACGGGAUUGGCUAAUAUCUGAUUCUAAUGACGGUACCUGAAGAAUAAGCACCGGCUAACUACGUGCCAGCAGCCGCGGUAAUACGUAGGGUGCAAGCGUUAAUCGGAAUUACUGGGCGUAAAGCGUGCGCAGGCGGUUGUGUAAGUCAGAUGUGAAAUCCCCGGGCUUAACCUGGGAAUGGCAUUUGAGACUGCACGGCUAGAGUGUGUCAGAGGGGGGUAGAAUUCCACGUGUAGCAGUGAAAUGCGUAGAGAUGUGGAGGAACACCGAUGGCGAAGGCAGCCCCCUGGGAUAACACUGACGCUCAUGCACGAAAGCGUGGGGAGCAAACAGG